UGACCAACAUCUGCCUCCUGGGAUGGAGUGU
rnacentral:piRNA from 1 species